GCCGGAGUGGCGGAACUGGCAGACGCGCCGGACUCAAAAUCCGGUGGGAGGAAACUCCCUUGCGGGUUCGAUCCCCGCCUCCGGCA
rnacentral:tRNA from 1 species